rnacentral:rRNA from 1 species
UACGAAGGGGGCUAGCGUUGUUCGGAUUUACUGGGCGUAAAGCGCACGUAGGCGGUCUGUUAUGUCGGAUGUGAAAGCCCUCGGCUCAACUGAGGAAGUGCAUCCGAAACUGGCAGGCUAGAGUACUAAAGAGGGUCGCGGAAUUCCCGGUGUAGAGGUGAAAUUCGUAGAUAUCGGGAGGAACACCGGUGGCGAAGGCGGCGACCUGGGUAGAUACUGACGCUGAGGUGCGAAAGCGUGGGGAGCAAACAGGG